UUGACGACGACUCUCCUCAGCUCAGGUUCCAGAAGCGUUUGAGUUGCUGAGGCGAGGAAAGAAGAGGCCAGGAGACCGCUUCCGGGCCAGGACGGAAGUGACGACGGGGCGGUGGCGGCGACGACCAAUCCCCGCUUAGAGACGCAGCUUCGCCUUAGAGAUAGGCGUUGCGGAGUGUUUCGAAUAAACUUCCGUUCUUUUCGAAGCUGAGUGGCUAGAAGGUCCCACUCGCAUUGCAAAGCGGAAGUUCUCUGCUUUCUGACAGGCGAGGCAAAGUAUGUGAGGGUUGUUUAUAGAGAUUGCCGAGCCUCUAGAGAUGCUUCAAAUCCCUGCUCCUAUUUAUGAGGAGCAAAUCUAACACAGCAUGGUUUCCAAGUUAACCGAACGAAUACCGGUAGUGACUGGAGGCGCGGUCAUUCACAUGCUUUCUCUUAGCUCUUUGCUUUUCUAGCGCCUGGGAAGGACGCAUGCGCAGAAACGUGAGUCAGCGAGUUUCGCUCUCGAUGGCGUUGUGCGCAUGCGCUAAGUACAAGCCCGCUUUACGUAGGGACUAGUGACUUGACAGCACGUUCCUAUUUUUGUCCCCCAAGUAAAACCCCGCUGAGUGCAGUGCAGCUUAUUCCUGGCAGAUUAUGCAUAAGUUUGCAGCCUUUGAAGCCUAAGAUGUGACUCUGAAAAGGCUCUCGACAAAGGCUCCCAUGCUUACCAUUUGAACUUAAUGGAAAUGAUUUUUGAGGAGACAUGGAUAGCAUUAUAAACUAGAAUCAUGGAGUAAGGAUCAGUAUCUGAUAGAACUGUAUUGCUUACUUGCAAAUACGGUUGUGCUUAUUACAUAUUAAUUUUAAUAAUUAUUGAAUACAUAUCCUUUAUUUAUUCAGCGUUGCAUCAAGGUGUGAUUCUAUGAGCCAGAAUUUUGGUCCAUCUCCUUCAGUAUUGCCUACACUAACUGGCUGGCCAGGAUUUCGGGCAGGGAUCUUGCCCAACCCUCGGCAGAGCAGCCAGGGAUUGAACCUGGGACCUCCUGCAGGCAAGACAACAUUCCAAUAUACUGAUAUAUCACGAUGUUUGAAAUA